UUCGGACUGGAGUCUGCAACCCGACUCCACGAAGUUGGAUUCGCUAGUAAUCGCGCAUCAGCCAUGGCGCGGCGAAUACGUUCCCGGGCCUUGUACACACCGCCCGUCAAGCCAUGGGAGCCGGGGGCGCCUGAAGUCCGGGACCGCGAGGACCGGCCUAGGGCGAAACUGGUAACUGGGGCUAAGUCGUAACAAGGUAAC
rnacentral:rRNA from 1 species